rnacentral:rRNA from 1 species
UAACUGCGGCUGGAUCACCUCCUUAGAGUUUGAUCCUGGCUCAGGAUGAACGCUGGCGGCGUGCUUAACACAUGCAAGUCGAACGAUGAACCUCACUUGUGGGGGGAUUAGUGGCGAACGGGUGAGUAACACGUGAGUAACCUGCCCUUAACUCUGGGAUAAGCCUGGGAAACUGGGUCUAAUACCGGAUAUGACUCCUCAUCGCAUGGUGGGGGGUGGAAAGCUUUAUUGUGGUUUUGGAUGGACUCGCGGCCUAUCAGCUUGUUGGUGAGGUAAUGGCUCACCAAGGCGACGACGGGUAGCCGGCCUGAGAGGGUGACCGGCCACACUGGGACUGAGACACGGCCCAGACUCCUACGGGAGGCAGCAGUGGGGAAUAUUGCACAAUGGGCGAAAGCCUGAUGCAGCGACGCCGCGUGAGGGAUGACGGCCUUCGGGUUGUAAACCUCUUUCAGUAGGGAAGAAGCGAAAGUGACGGUACCUGCAGAAGAAGCGCCGGCUAACUACGUGCCAGCAGCCGCGGUAAUACGUAGGGCGCAAGCGUUAUCCGGAAUUAUUGGGCGUAAAGAGCUCGUAGGCGGUUUGUCGCGUCUGCCGUGAAAGUCCGGGGCUCAACUCCGGAUCUGCGGUGGGUACGGGCAGACUAAGAGUGAUGUAGGGGAGACUGGAAUUCCUGGGUGUAGCGGUGAAAUGCGCAGAUAUCAGGAGGAACACCGAUGGGCGAAGGCAGGUCUCUGGGCAUUAACUGACGCUGAGGAGCGAAAGCAUGGGGAGCGAACAGGAUUAGAUACCCUGGUAGUCCAUGCCGUAAACGUUGGGCACUAGGUGUGGGGGACAUUCCACGUUUUCCGUACCGUAGCUAACGCAUUAAGUGCCCCGCCUGGGGAGUACGGCCGCAAGGCUAAAACUCAAAGGAAUUGACGGGGGCCCGCACAAGCGGCGGAGCAUGCGGAUUAAUUCGAUGCAACGCGAAGAACCUUACCAAGGCUUGACAUGAACCGGUAAUACCUGGAAACAGGUGCCCCGCUUGCGGUCGGUUUACAGGUGGUGCAUGGUUGUCGUCAGCUCGUGUCGUGAGAUGUUGGGUUAAGUCCCGCAACGAGCGCAACCCUCGUUCUAUGUUGCCAGCGCGUAAUGGCGGGGACUCAUAGGAGACUGCCGGGGUCAACUCGGAGGAAGGUGGGGACGACGUCAAAUCAUCAUGCCCCUUAUGUCUUGGGCUUCACGCAUGCUACAAUGGCCGGUACAAAGGGUUGCGAUACUGUGAGGUGGAGCUAAUCCCAAAAAGCCGGUCUCAGUUCGGUUUUUGUCUGCAACUCGACCCCAUGAAGUCGGAG